rnacentral:rRNA from 1 species
CGGGUGAGUAACACGUGGGCAACCUGCCUAUAAGACUGGGAUAACUUCGGGAAACCGGAGCUAAUACCGGAUACGUUCUUUUCUCGCAUGAGAGAAGAUGGAAAGACGGUUUCGGCUGUCACUUAUAGAUGGGCCCGCGGCGCAUUAGCUAGUUGGUGAGGUAAUGGCUCACCAAGGCGACGAUGCGUAGCCGACCUGAGAGGGUGAUCGGCCACACUGGGACUGAGACACGGCCCAGACUCCUACGGGAGGCAGCAGUAGGGAAUCUUCCGCAAUGGACGAAAGUCUGACGGAGCAACGCCGCGUGAACGAAGAAGGCCUUCGGGUCGUAAAGUUCUGUUGUUAGGGAAGAACAAGUACCAGAGUAACUGCUGGUACCUUGACGGUACCUAACCAGAAAGCCACGGCUAACUACGUGCCAGCAGCCGCGGUAAUACGUANGUGGCAAGCGUUGUCCGGAAUUAUUGGGCGUAAAGCGCGCGCAGGUGGNUCCUUAAGUCUGAUGUGAAAGCCCACGGCUCAACCGUGGA